ensembl:snRNA U6 U6 spliceosomal RNA
CUGCUUCAGCAGCAGAUAUACUAAAAUUGGAACCAUACAGAGAAAAUUAGCAUGACCCCUGUGCAAGGAUGACAUGCAAAUUUGUGAAGCGCUCCAUAUUAAA